AUGUCUCACGAACUCGCUUUUCGUUGUCGUGUCACCUCCAUUAUGGAAGCUUUGACAGCAACAGUCGUGCAAGAAAUCUGUCAAUUUAUGGGAGAAAGCUAUGCUGCUCUUCGAGUGGAAAUGUUGCAUGAACAAAAUAAAAAUGAGACAAGGAUGGAGAAGCCAGCGAACUGCCUUAAGAACGUUUCAAAACCUGUUAGCCCACCAAUUUUGGGAAACUUUCCAAUCGUGGGGCAAAUCCUCAAUAAACAAGAGGCCAACUAUCAUUGGCUAGAAGACGGUACUGUGUUUGAAGGCCUAGCAUCACCAGUGCCAGAGACGGAGAGACGAGAGCCAUCACAGCCCGCUGGUCAGAUUACAGACACGGUACCAUGGCCAGUAUGGCUCAUCAAACAGGAGGAAAUGGCUGAUGAUCUGGAAUCGGAAGGUUACGGCGAAUGGAUUCCAGAGACUCCCAAGGCCAAUCAGAAUAUCGCAGGAGAAAGUGAUGAGGAAGAGAGAAGUCCAGCCUCUGGGGGAUCCAGAGAACUUGGACUCGACGACUUCAAGAGAGAACAGAGUCCGUUGCUGGUGUCACCUGAGGAUGCUGCGACACCCAUAAAGACAAAGUAUAAAACACGCAUGUUAGAACACACCGGGAAGCCACGUUUUCGCUGCGAUAUCUGCGGUGAGAAAUUCCAGCGUCAGAGCGGCUUGACCAGGCACCAGCGGCACAAACACAACACCGUGAAAACCUACAGUUGCUCUGUGUGUGGGAAAGGGUUCACCUACAUCAAAUCCCUCAACACGCAUGAGCUCACUCACUCUGAUGUCUCUCUCAGUUCAACUAUAACUCUGGAUGAAGCCAAGGCAAGGAAAAGAGGUCUGACUGAUGAACCCACAGACAGAAAUGCAGCAGGAGAUGUGAGUUGUGUAGAAUGUUGCCCAUUACCAGUACCUUGA
rnacentral:lncRNA from 8 species